GUGAACGCUGGCGGUAGGCCUAACACCUGCAAGUCGAACGGCAGCACAGUAAGAGCUUGCUCUUACGGGUGGCGAGUGGCGGACGGGUGAGGAAUACAUCGGAAUCUACUUUUUCGUGGGGGAUAACGUAGGGAAACUUACGCUAAUACCGCAUACGACCUACGGGUGAAAGCAGGGGAUCUUCAGACCUUGCGCGAUUGAAUGAGCCGAUGUCGGAUUAGCUAGUUGGCGGGGUAAAGGCCCACCAAGGCGACGAUCCGUAGCUGGUCUGAGAGGAUGAUCAGCCACACUGGAACUGAGACACGGUCCAGACUCCUACGGGAGGCAGCAGUGGGGAAUAUUGGACAAUGGGCGCAAGCCUGAUCCAGCCAUACCGCGUGGGUGAAGAAGGCCUUCGGGUUGUAAAGCCCUUUUGUUGGGAAAGAAAAGCAGCAGGUUAAUACCCCGCUGUUCUGACGGUACCCAAAGAAUAAGCACCGGCUAACUUCGUG
rnacentral:rRNA from 1 species